AUUUUGUGACAUUUUUCUUCUUGGAGAGACUGGGAUACUGCACUUUGUGUUUUCUAUCCAGCAAGUUAAGUGAACCAGCAGAGGUAAUAACCUCCUUCUUUCCCUUUCUGAAAGAGAUUUGUAACCAAGAUGAAACCUGCAGCAGUGCAUUUAAGUUGUAAAGCUGCUAUCCAGCAUUACCUCAUCCUUAAACGGCUGUUAGCGAUCAAGCUGCUCUGGAAAGCAGUUUACAUGACUGUUCCCUUCUGUUGAGCAAUGCAGGGCAAAGUAAGGUGUUGUAGUGGAAUUCCAGGGUCACAGCCUGAACCAAUGGGUGGGCUCUGUGAGUGUGUGAGUGCGGCGGCGCGGCGGUACGAACGGGGGAGGGACACAUUCCUCAGCUCGGCUCGGGCUGCGCACUGCUACCGGGAGGGGUGAGUCGAUUCUUUUUGAUAUCUUUCCCUCGGGCUCACCCCCUACCUGCUCAGUCAUUGGUUCAUGCUGUGAAGGGGUGGAGUGUAGUGGAAUUCCAGGGUCACAGCCUGAACCAAUGGGUGGGCUCUGUGAGUGUGUGAGUGCGGCGGCGCGGCGGUACGAACGGGGGAGGGACACAUUCCUCAGCUCGGCUCGGGCUGCGCACUGCUACCGGGAGGGGUGAGUCGAUUCUUUUUGAUAUCUUUCCCUCGUGUGCCUAUUUCUUAAAUAAAGGCUUUGUCAUCACCUUCAUUUGCCCUACAGGUGUUAAACUGGGAUUCGGGAGAGAAUUUCAUCUACCACUGUCACUGUGCAACCCUGGUCAAUGCUUUUCACUGCAGUUUCUCAUAAUGAGAUAAGAACUGAGAUUUUUAGCAUGAACUUUUGUCAUUGUAAGUUCAGCUGAUCACUGUAAUAGCUACUGGCACCUUGUUUUGCAACACUUUAUUUGCAGAGAGAAGAGAAGCUGGUUAUUGCAGAGCUCGAAUAGUUGUGAAAUGUCAGGUCUUUCUUGAUUCAUUUCUGUCAGCGUAGGUGAUUGAGAUGGUGAAUCCUACAGGGAGCAUCCCAGUGAGAGUUCUCUCUUGUUUGUUGUUCAUGUGUAUUUAUUAUUAUUUCAUAAUGAAACCUCAGGAGUUAGCUGUAGAUGGGUGAGCAAAGCCAUGUACCACUAAUGGCGAAGUAUUGUGAGGGGUUUAAAGCUUGGGCUAUGAUGAGAUCAAAAUACACAUCUGUAACAUGAGCAAGAAUUGUUUUGAUUAAAGCUGAGGCUUUAAAUUAAUUUGCAUGGGAUCUAGAUGAACGACCUGUGUGAUCAAAGCAGAUUGCAUUGUAAAUAGGUUCACAGAGUGAUGCUGAGUGAACAGAGCUCAUUUCACAGGCUGAGACUGAACCUAAUCCUGACCUCCAGCAGAAGCGUGCAGGGUAUGAUGCAGGUGGUUUUUAUCUUCUGCUCAUCAGUCAGGAGCUUUGUAGCUUGCAGACAACUCAGUUCAGUUAUAUUUUUGCUUGGGGUUAGA
ensembl:lncRNA